rnacentral:rRNA from 1 species
UACGAAGGGGGCUAGCGUUGCUCGGAAUCACUGGGCGUAAAGGGUGCGUAGGCGGGUCUUUAAGUCAGGGGUGAAAUCCUGGAGCUCAACUCCAGAACUGCCUUUGAUACUGAAGAUCUUGAGUUCGGGAGAGGUGAGUGGAACUGCGAGUGUAGAGGUGAAAUUCGUAGAUAUUCGCAAGAACACCAGUGGCGAAGGCGGCUCCCUGGCCCGAUACUGACGCUGAGGCACGAAAGCGUGGGGAGCA